rnacentral:rRNA from 1 species
GACGAACGCUGGCGGCGUGCUUAACACAUGCAAGUCGAACGGAAAGGCCCUGCUUUUGUGGGGUGCUCGAGUGGCGAACGGGUGAGUAACACGUGAGUAACCUGCCCUUGACUUUGGGAUAACUUCAGGAAACUGGGGCUAAUACCGGAUAGGAGCUCCUGCUGCAUGGUGGGGGUUGGAAAGUUUCGGCGGUUGGGGAUGGACUCGCGGCUUAUCAGCUUGUUGGUGGGGUAGUGGCUUACCAAGGCUUUGACGGGUAGCCGGCCUGAGAGGGUGACCGGCCACAUUGGGACUGAGAUACGGCCCAGACUCCUACGGGAGGCAGCAGUGGGGAAUAUUGCACAAUGGGCGGAAGCCUGAUGCAGCAACGCCGCGUGCGGGAUGACGGCCUUCGGGUUGUAAACCGCUUUCGCCUGUGACGAAGCGUGAGUGACGGUAAUGGGUAAAGAAGCACCGGCUAACUACGUGCCAGCAGCCGUGGUGAUACGUAGGGUGCGAGCGUUGUCCGGAUUUAUUGGGCGUAAAGGGCUCGUAGGUGGUUGAUCGCGUCGGAAGUGUAAUCUUGGGGCUUAACCCUGAGCGUGCUUUCGAUACGGGUUGACUUGAGGAAGGUAGGGGAGAAUGGAAUUCCUGGUGGAGCGGUGGAAUGCGCAGAUAUCAGGAGGAACACCAGUGGCGAAGGCGGUUCUCUGGGCCUUUCCUGACGCUGAGGAGCGAAAGCGUGGGGAGCGAACAGGCUUAGAUACCCUGGUAGUCCACGCUGUAAACGGUGGGUACUAGGUGUGGGGUCCAUUCCACGGGUUCCGUGCCGUAGCUAACGCUUUAAGUACCCCGCCUGGGGAGUACGGCCGCAAGGCUAAAACUCAAAGGAAUUGACGGGGCCCCGCACAAGCGGCGGAGCAUGCGGAUUAAUUCGAUGCAACGCGUAGAACCUUACCUGGGUUUGACAUGGAUCGGGAGUGCUCAGAGAUGGGUGUGCCUCUUUUGGGGUCGGUUCACAGGUGGUGCAUGGCUGUCGUCAGCUCGUGUCGUGAGAUGUUGGGUUAAGUCCCGCAACGAGCGCAACCCUUGUUCACUGUUGCCAGCACGUUAUGGUGGGGACUCAGUGGAGACCGCCGGGGUCAACUCGGAGGAAGGUGGGGAUGACGUCAAGUCAUCAUGCCCCUUAUGUCCAGGGCUUCACGCAUGCUACAAUGGCUGGUACAGAGAGUGGCGAGCCUGUGAGGGUGAGCGAAUCUCGGAAAGUCGGUCUCAGUUCGGAUUGGGGUCUGCAACUCGACCUCAUGAAGUCGGAGUCGCUAGUAAUCGCAGAUCAGCAACGCUGCGGUGAAUACGUUCCCGGGGC